rnacentral:rRNA from 1 species
UACGUAGGGUGCAAGCGUUGUCCGGAAUUAUUGGGCGUAAAGAGCUUGUAGGCGGUUUGUCGCGUCUGCUGUGAAAUUUCGGGGCUCAACCCCGAGCUUGCAGUGGGUACGGGCAGACUAGAGUGUGGUAGGGGAGACUGGAAUUCCUGGUGUAGCGGUGAAAUGCGCAGAUAUCAGGAGGAACACCGAUGGCGAAGGCAGGUCUCUGGGCCACUACUGACGCUGAGAAGCGAAAGCAUGGGGAGCAAACAGG